rnacentral:rRNA from 1 species
GCACGGGUGAGGUAACGCGUAUAGCGAACCUAGCCUACAACACGGGGAAUAACCCGUUGAAAGACGGACUAAUACCCCAUAAGUACAGGGAUCCCGCAUGGGAAUAGUUUGUUAAAAGAUUUAUCGGUUGUAGAUGGGCAUGCGUUCCAUUAGCUAGUUGGUGAGGUACGGCUCACCAAGGCAACGAUGGAUAGGGGAACUGAGAGGUUUAUCCCCCCACACUGGUACUGAGACACGGACCAGACUCCUACGGGAGGCAGCAGUGAGAAUAUUGGUCAAUGGACGCAAGUCUGAACCAAGCCACGUCGCGUGAAGGAAGACGGCCCUACGGGUUGUAAACCUCUUUUGUAAGGGAAUAAAGUGAGCCACGUGUGGCUUUUUGCAUGUACCUUACGAAUAAGGAUCGGCUAACUCCGUGCCAGCCGCCGC